CCUCGGCGCCGCCGCCGCCAUCUUGGGAGGCCUCCCUGCCCGAGUCCCUCCCGCCAGGAAAUGGCCACGGAGCCUCUGCAGGGCGAGUUAGGGUGUCCCGGCCUUCGCCCUGCCCCGCGGGCCUCGCCGGACGAGAGGAGGUUGUGCGGACGUGUGUAGACCCUCAGGGAAAGGGCCGGCGUGGCCCCCCUCCGCCGCCCCCUUGCAUUCCCACAGCGGGGAGGGCUGGCAGCCAUGUUUCCCGACAAGAUGGCGACACGUGUCGCCGACGCGCAACUGGGGUGGGUCCGAAAGCUCUAGAACGUGCGUCUCAGCAUUCUCGGGCCGUCCCCAGGUUCUUUCGGGAUGAGACGGCGGGCCGCUCGGACGUUGGUUGGCAGAGACUCGGGCUCUCCACCUCCCUCGUUGGGCAUGUGCAUAAAAUGCAGGCCCAACGCUGCCUUCUUUUUUUUUCUUUUUGAGUAAUGGCAGGCGGGGGUGUGUGCAGUACCUAGCCGAGUAUCCAAGCAUCUAGAAACCUGUUUUUCUAGAUCUUGUCCAGGUUGUGGUGUUAACUGAUUAAAGAUUUUGUAGCUAAAACCAUGAGGCUGCCUGUGUCUCACUAUUCAGCCGUCCGGUGAUCCGCAAGUUCGCAGUUAUGCCCUCGAAUAGAGUCAAAAGGAACCGCCGGUGGUUUUGGAUUUGCCAAUCCAGAUUCUAUUCUAAACAUUUCACUGCAAUCUUUUCUUUUUUUAAUCACAGUCCCCAGACUGCAGUGGGUAUUUAUUUCUCUCUCUUUUUCCCCCCAGCAGAGUAAGACAAACCCAGAAAGGUGAAGUGACUGAUUUAAGGUCACUCAGUAUGGAGAAUUUGGAAUGCAUAAACAUCUAAUUUCCUUACUGAUCCACACUCCAUGUUCUGAGGAGCCGCCUGUGAAGUUACUGAGAUAAUGGAGCAAUGGACUGGAUAGUCCCCUGUAUAUCAUCCAUGAUUCCUCUCAAAUUCAAGUGACCACAGGCUGGUUAAGGGGCUUAACGAAUCUGGGAAGGUGCUUUCCAGUCUCUCUAUGUUAUGGGCGAAGAGACUGAACCCAGAAAAGUGAAGUGACGUGCUUUGAGUCACAGCUAGCCACCAUGAACAUCAGGCACAUAACUCCUGCUGAGCUGUCGCCAGUGUUCCAGUCACCCCACAGCAAAGGCUCAUUAGGAGUAAAUUAGAAAGUUUUUCUGAGACAGGAACCUGCCAGCAGUUCCUGAGGAAUCAAGAAGAGGUAACAAAACUCUUU